GGAAGGGUUAACAUAGCUAGGUGAGACAACAACAUGAGGGAAGGGUUAACAUAGCUAGGUGAGACAACAACAUGAGGGAAGGGUUAACAUAGCUAGGUGAGACAACAACAUGAGGGAAGGGUUAACAUAGCUAGGUGAGACAACAUGAGGGAAGGGUUAACAUAGCUAGGUGAGACAACAUGAGGGAAGGGUUAACAUAGCUAGGUGAGACAACAUGAGGGAAGGGUUAACAUAGCUAGGUGAGACAACAACAUGAGGGAAGGGUUAACAUAGCUAGGUGAGACAACAACAUGAGGGAAGGGUUAACAUAGCUAGGUGAGACAACAUGAGGGAAGGGUUAACAUAGCUAGGUGAGACAACAUGAGGGAAGGGUUAACAUAGCUAGGUGAGACAACAACAUGAGGGAAGGGUUAACAUAGCUAGGUGAGACAACAACAUGAGGGAAGGGUUAACAUAGCUAGGUGAGACAACAUGAGAGAAGGGUUAACAUAGCUAGGUGAGACAACAACAUGAGGGAAGGGUUAACAUAGCUAGG